rnacentral:rRNA from 1 species
UACAGAGGGUGCGAGCGUUGUCCGGAAUCACUGGGCGUAAAGGGCGCGUAGGUGGCGCGACAAGUCAGUGGUGAAAGUUCGACGCUCAACGUCGAAUCGGCCACUGAUACUGUUGGGCUUGAGCACUGUAGAGGCUAAUGGAAUUCCGGGUGUAGCGGUGGAAUGCGUAGAGAUCCGGAAGAACACCGGUGGCGAAGGCGGAUCUCUGGGCCGAUACUGACGCUGAGGAGCGAAAGCGUGGGGAGCGAACAGG